rnacentral:rRNA from 1 species
GACGAACGCUGGCGGCGUGCUUAACACAUGCAAGUCGAACGGAAAGGCCUCUUUCGGGGGGUACUCGAGUGGCGAACGGGUGAGUAACACGUGAGUAACCUGCCCUUGACUUUGGGAUAACUUCAGGAAACUGGGGCUAAUACCGGAUAGGAGCUCCUGCUGCAUGGUGGGGGUUGGAAAGUUUCGGCGGUUGGGGAUGGACUCGCGGCUUAUCAGCUUGUUGGUGGGGUAGUGGCUUACCAAGGCUUUGACGGGUAGCCGGCCUGAGAGGGUGACCGGCCACAUUGGGACUGAGAUACGGCCCAGACUCCUACGGGAGGCAGCAGUGGGGAAUAUUGCACAAUGGGUGGCAGCCGGAUGCAGCAACGCCGUGUGCGGGAUGACGGCCUUCGGGUUGUAAACCGCUUUCGCUCAUGACGAAGCUUUGUGUGACGGUAGUGGGUAAAGAAGCACCGGCUAACUACGUG